CACACCGCGAAAAGCAGGAUAAGAAAAUAGUUUUUACAUGUUAUAUGCAAACAUAUCAUUGAACAUCUGGGGAUUAUUCUUGGUUAUUCUUGUGGUCAACAUGACAUGCAUCAUGAUGCAUAUUAUAUUAUGAUUUGAGACGAGGGCAAGUGUACCCGAUAAGAACACUUUGUAAAUAUUUAUGGCGUUAUAUCUGUCUUUUAUUUGGAUUAUUAUACACAGUCGUGCGAUCGUAAAGGUAAAUGAAUAUUUUUAUAUGCACAUGUCAAAAAAGAUACGAGAUGAAAAGUCUGUACUUAUUUAUUUAUAACGUUACUUGUGUGAUGGUCGCGGAUAUAAGAUCAUAUAAAAUUAACUGUUUCUUCAUAUAGAUAUAUACCUCUGAGUAUAUACCAAAAGAAUAACUUAAUAGGUAGCUCUGCUGGGUAUUCCGAUUCGAAGGGGAACCAGCUACAAAGGUUAUCAGAAACACUUCUUUAACUGAUGUUUACUGAAAAAUAAAAACCACGACCAUCGCCAUUUUUGACAGAAUCGUAUUUAUAAUCAUUUAUCCCUUCAUAUUGAAGGUAUCAAUUUUUUUUUUUUAUCAAUUUGUAGACUUGUAUUCAAAUGGACAGUUGACAUCAACAUGGUCGAAUAAUCUGUGGAUAGUAUACUUGCUAUUUAUGGAAAAAAAAUCUUUUUUUUUCGACUCGUCAUAUUUAAAACGAGAUUGAAUGGCAUAGAACCAUUGUAACCCUAUUCCGUAGGAAAGAUGCAGAUUCUUAUAUGUCUUCAAUUAUGCCAACAGCACUUUUAAAUUUCCAUAUGAUUACACGUUGCCAUGAUUGAGAAGCUUUUAAUUAUAAAUGAAAAAACAAACAAACAAAUAAUCGGUACCAGAUCUUUAACGAUACUUUCAAAUAACGGUCCAAUAAAAGCUUCGAUCAUCUUCAAUAUACUGCCCACAUUUAAUUCCCUCAGGCAAAGUUGGCCUCUGAUUAAUUUGGCUAUUUUGUAUGUUCUUUAAUUUGGUCAUGCAUCUCUUCAAUGGUUCUAUGGUACCUUUGAUAACUAUUUACACCACUAGGUCGAUGUCACUGCUGGUAAACGUCUCGAACCCGAGGGUAUCGAUCACCAGCCCAGUAGUCAACACUUCGGUGUUGACAUGAAUUUCAAUAAUGUGGUCAUUUUUAUAAAUUUCCUGUUUACAAAAGUUUGAAUUUUUCGAAAAACGAAGGAUUUUCAUAUCCGAGGCAUAGAUUAGCUUAGCCGUAUUUGGCACAACUUUUUGGAAUUUUGGAUCCUCAAUGCUCUUCAACUUUGUACUUGUUUGGCUUAGAUGUAGAUAAGUCAAGAAAAGCGCUUUGGACGAAUGAAAUUUAUAACGUAUGUACGUAUUGUUUUCUAAUUUUGACAUGUUGAAAUAUACUCAGAGACGGAUUUAGAUGGGGGUUCUAUGUGCCCCCUCCCUAAUUGUGGGGAAAAUUUGGUGAUUAUAUAGGAAAUCACUGAAGCAUGAUCAGAGCGGGCCCCCUUUCCUGCAGUCAGUGCCCCUAGCUCCCCUCAUGAAAAGAUCUGGAUCCGCCACUGUAAACUGACAAGUAUAUUAGGACCAGCAUAUAAAAUGUAUUUGAAUAUACUGCUUUUUGAAAGAAAAAAAACAUUGUGAAUAAGAUUUAUAUAGAAGCAUAAAUUGAACGACCAGCGUUAACAUAACAGUACAUAGAACAUUGGGAGUCGUUUUCCUGCUUCAUAUAUGUGACUACAACGAGAUUUCUUGACUUAUGAGGGAAACAUACCGGUAGUCUUAAACGUGCAUAUUUAUUUAUUAAAUACUGAAACUGAGAUUAUAGUAGUUUCAGACUGAAAGAAAAAUUCACUGUCAUGACAAAAUUGUUGAAAUGAAGUGACAGAUCCAGAACUUUUUAUAAGGGGGGAUCCAAUGACUGACAUAAUGGGGUCCUAAUUCAGUCAUGCUUCAGUGAUUCCCUUUAUAAUCAAACACAUUUUCCCCACAAAAAGGCCUACAGCCCCAUCCUUGGAUCCGCUUAUGAAAUGAAAGUGUGAGUGAGUGAGUCUAUUUCUAUAUGUACUUGAAACAUAAUUUAUACAGAACGGGCAAUGAAAUUUGUUUAACAUUUAUCUCAAUGUAUAAGCUAUUAAUAGUAUUAAGUAGUAGAUCUUUUUUAAUAUUUUUUAUAUUUUAUGUUUAACAGACUACCACACAGUACAUGUAUGCUGAGAGCGUAACAGUUUUAGAAGUUGUUUACGAAAUGACAUGCAAAUGUUAUGCUCAGUUUAACACAUCGAUGCAUUUGAAACGAUGCCCGGUAUUUAAUUAUUAUGACAAUCUGUUGUAAUUUGAUGAUGGGUACAGAACUGUAAAAACUUGAUAUAGCGAUAAUUUUGAAUUUCAAAUCCUUUGAAAACUUGCUUAUAUUUAUGCAGGAUAAAGAAUUUUCAAUUUUUCUUCAGAUUUAUGUAACCAAAGCAUAGUUUUAUAGCCCAAUAAAGUCCUAUGAAGCAGUAAGCGUGGGUACGCAUAAUACAUCACAAGUCUUCACGUCUUACAUGCACUGAUUACAUCUAACGCAGACAAUAUAAUAAAUCUUCAUAUUCUUCAAAAACGGGCUAGUCUGUUUCAGUUAUUAUGAAAACUAACUAGAUUCUGUUUUCCAUUUUAUGUCAGGAAAGGAGUUUAGAAUUAUGUAAAACCAGUGGCGAAUCUAUGGGGUUAUGGGGGUUGGAACAUCCCCUUUUUCACGAUCAAUGCAUUUAAAUGGGGACUCAUGGAUGGAAUAUAAAAAAGAAGAUGUGGUAUGAUUGCCAAUGAGACAAAUCUCUACAAAAAGACCAAAUGACACAUACAUUAAUAGCUAUAAAUCACCGUACGGCCUUCAACAAUGAGCAAAGCCCAUACCACAUAGUCAGCUAUAAAAGGCCCUGAAAUGACAAAUGUAUUGACAAUUCAAACGAGAAAACUAACGGCAUAAUUUAUGUACAAAAAAUGAAAGAAAAACAGAUAUAUAACACAUCAACAAACAACAACUACUGAACUACAGGCUCCUGAAUUGGGACAGACACAUACAUACAAAAUGUGCCGUGGUUAUACAUGUUAGUGGGAUCCCAACCUUCCCCUAAUCUUGGACAGGGUAUACCAGUACAACAUAAGGGACGACAUCAAAAGUUCAUUGAAGGAUAAACAACUUAAUUCACAUAGUUUUUUUCACUGACACCCACCCCCGUCUAAACUUAAUUUGGGAAAAAAUGAUUGACCCAUAUAAAUAAAUGUAAAAAUCAAUGUCGGAUAACCACAUCUUGCAGCAAAUCAACCCCCAUCCCAAACUAUUUGAAUUAAGAUUUUUUUUAUCUUACAUUGAUCUUUUGAUGUCGUCCCUAAGAACGAACUAUAAAAAUCAGUCAGUGAAAAAAGGCUAACUCAACAAAUGUAUACAAAUAAAAAUACAUCUAACAAAAACACACUGUGGACUUGGUUGGAACUCCAUUUAUCCUUGGUUGGGAACCUCCUUUUUAAUAAAGCUGGAUCCGCCCCUGAAACGGGAAAUAUAUUUCUGUUGAGCUGUUAAAAAGUUAGCAAUCCAAGAAUAUUUACAGUAAAGUUACAAUUCUUACUGAAUGUGGUUCGAUUUGAAGAUUUACCAAAAGAGUUGGCUAAUAAGAUACUUAAAAGAGAGAUGUAAUCAAGGCAUAUGAAAAUACUCAUGAUAAACACGAAAAAUCCAAAGCUACACGAGGCGGUAUUGGGAAGGGUGCUCACCCACCCCCUUUCAUAUAAGGAAUCACUAAGGCAUUACUGGAAGGGGUCCCUCUUAGGUAGUCAGUGUCCCCCUUUUAUGAUGACGUGGUAUGAUUGAUAAUGUGAUCACUCUUCAACAGAGACCAAAUGACAUGAAUUGUUCAAAUAGCAUUUUCUGUCAAUAUUUAAUGGAAAUUCAAUUGGUAUAGCUAAGUGACCGCUCCACUUAACUGUCAGAGUCACAUUCUAAGACAAUAGUUUUGUUUUUGUAGUCUAUAUUGUUCGACAGCGUCGAAAACAUUCAUAUGGCGGUUGAUGUUAUAACCAUCAUAGACGAAUUUGAAUUAGAGAAGCGUUUUUUCACCGCUGUCAUUAUGAAUAGGCCAUGAUUAAGACAGGGGCGUAGCUUACGUUUAGGCAACCGAGGCGGCGUUUUUGCCUCGGUAAAAAAAAAAUAUUUUCCUUCACUGUAUUUUCUUUUAAAUGAUUAUUGCAGCAAACUGGCUACUAAACAAUAAUGUAGCAACUUGUUAUGUCUAUUGAUUCAUACCCUUUAAUAAUGUAGCAACUUGUUAUGUCUAUUGAUUCAUACCCUUUACCGCCAGUGAGUUUACGAAUUAUUCAGGAAUUAUGGGAACAUUUGAAUUAAUUUUCCCUCCUCUACUUGGAAAUACGCUUUACGGUAGUUUUCUGUAAUUCAAGUUUGUCAGAGUAAAAGGAAAUCGACAACAGAUUUAUUUUGUCCUACUCCAUUGCAAGCGAAAACAGUGAGUAGAAUAGAUGAGGAUGCAACUCACAAGUCACCCGAUCAAAUCACUUAAAAAUAUAUUGAAUUAGGCGCUAAUUUUGUGUCAAAAUAAUUUCUAGUAUAUGAGGGCUUCGGUGAGGUUUUAAGAAAACAGAAAAAUCGGCCCUGAAAUUAAUUUAAAUUUAAAAGAAUAUGGAUUUAAAAUGGUGCUAAAUUAUAAGAAAGGAAAAUCAAAUUAUGGGCGACAAUGAUUAAAAAAUAAAUAUUUGAUAAUCCCUUUCUCAAUAUUGAUUCUAAGCAUUCAAACCCUCAUUUAUAACCGUUGACAUGUUCCCCUACGACUAUGUUCAUUUACUUGGGUACUAAACAAAACAAAAUAUGCAUUUAUACAUUAAAGUGCACAGAAAAUAAUUUAUAUGUUGUGGUUCUCAAGUUUUCUUCUCGCAUUUUUUUUUUUUUUUAGUACGUUUUCACAAGCAGGGAAUUUAAAAUAUUUAAAGGAAUCACUGAUUCCAGGGAAAUAUGUCUGUUAGUUAAUACAUAAUGUCAGUUUAUAUAUAUAUAUAAAAACAACCUAACAACCAAAUAUUGUUCAUUUAUAAUGAAGACUUCAGAAUAAAGUAAAUGUUAGUUAUUCGCCGGUUGUCAUGUUCAUCGUGAAUGAAAAAUAAAGUUAAAAAUCAUUCAAUAUGUAAUUUCAAGACCUUCGAAGGAAUACACCACUAAAACAAGUGCCGUGCUAGACUUUACAUGUAGCAUAUGUUUUUCUCCUGAAAUUCGUUUGUUCAAUCCAGCUGUCAUUUUGUGGUGAUUAUCUAUAAUUCGUUGAUUCGUGACCUACGACCAAAUAAAUGAUCAUCACAAAACUUUUACAAAUAAACCUUAAACAUUUGCGUUUGUUUUUUUUUUCUGUACUGAACAUUUUGUACAAGUUUCUUCUAUCCACCGAGCAAGGUCAUGAUUUCUUGUGAUAUGACGUGUGAGGUACAGCCAACUAUAUUAGAGUGUACUACGGCUUGGAAAUGUAUUGGUUAGGCAUUUGAGCUGGCUUUCUGCUGGGAACAGUAUGUCAAUUAUAUAUAUAUAUAUAUAUAUAUAUAUAUAUAUAUAUAUAUAUAUGUUACUGCUUUCUGUAACUGCUAGCAAGUCAGGAAACUGACUUUUCAUUGGUUGUCUGAUGUGAUACCUUCACGUAUUUUGUUAUUUUUAUAGCUUUGAGUACAGAUAGUAAGGCAUAUAAUUAACAUUAUUAUGAUGAAAUAACAUUGAACAGUAACUAUUUUUAACGAUUUUUUCUUGUUCAAAUUGUUAAAACCUCUAUAGCUUCAGAGGGCUGUGCCCCCUGACCCCCUGCCUCGGUAUAAACAGAAGGCAAGCUACGCCACUGUAAGUUUGCACAUAUGCUAAUAAUUAGGGAAUGAUAUCCCUCUCUACAUGAUAAGAUCGGGGUCAACUCUCAAGUAACCUCUUGAUUGGUUUUAAUCAACAAUUGAUUUUGUAUUCACAUAUCUGACAUAUCAGUUACAUGGUUUGUAGACGUAGUGAUGAUUGAAACGAGGAUUGAAAUUUCUUAUAUAUCUGGCAAUUUUGAUAAAUUUAUUUUUAAAACAUUAGAAGAUGAAACGAUAGGAGUUUCUUAAAUGUGAGUAUGAAUGUUCUUCCCGUAAACAUGUUAUGAAAUGCAACAUUUAGACGAUUUCAUUCAGAAAUCCCGUUAAGUUUACAAAUGUGCUUCAGUUCAAUUAUGUAUCUCUUUGGUUUCAAUUCUAACAAGGAGGUUAUAUAUAACCCAAGGAUAUAUAACCUCCUUGAUUCUACUAACAAAAUGACAAUAGACACAAAGUGCCGAUCUUAGACACAAAGUGCCGAUCUUAGAGUAAUCGCUGUUAUCUGUUUAUUUCUCAGAAAUAAUUGAAUAAUCUUUCUUAUUUUUUUACAAGCGAACGAGUUUGGGAAAUAUACAUACUAUAAAAAAAGGGCCAACGGAAAAUCAUUGUCUAAAAGAUUGUAAAACCGAAUAGGGGAAAAUAAUCUCGGUUGUUGCAAUUGUUUGUAUUUAGAGUUCUUGUUUGAAACGGAAAUAUCUAUGUUUAUUAUAAAGUGUUAUUAUAGAUGUAUACACCUUAUAUCUAUGGUAUUCACUAUAUCUUCAGCAAAAUGUAUUGUUUGUUUGUUUCAGAAUCCAGCUAAAAAGCGAUUUGUAUCAUUAACCUGUCAAGUUAACACUGCUGACUGUAUACGUGG
rnacentral:lncRNA from 1 species